rnacentral:rRNA from 1 species
CGGCUCACCAAGGCGACGAUCCCUAGCUGGUCUGAGAGGAUGACCAGCCACACUGGAACUGAGACACGGUCCAGACUCCUACGGGAGGCAGCAGUGGGGAAUAUUGCACAAUGGGCGCAAGCCUGAUGCAGCCAUGCCGCGUGUAUGAAGAAGGCCUUCGGGUUGUAAAGUACUUUCAGCGGGGAGGAAGGGAGUAAAGUUAAUACCUUUGCUCAUUGACGUUACCCGCAGAAGAAGCACCGGCUAACUCCGUGCCAGCAGCCGCGGUAAUACGGAGGGUGCAAGCGUUAAUCGGAAUUACUGGGCGUAAAGCGCACGCAGGCGGUUUGUUAAGUCAGAUGUGAAAUCCCCGGGCUCAACCUGGGAACUGCAUCUGAUACUGGCAAGCUUGAGUCUCGUAGAGGGGGGUAGAAUUCCAGGUGUAGCGGUGAAAUGCGUAGAGAUCUGGAGGAAUACCGGUGGCGAAGGCGGCCCCCUGG